CUGAAAUUCACUCCCCUUGUUACCUGUGGGAUUAAUAUUCUUUAAAUCCUGGGGAGAGGGACCAGGAGAGGAGAGAGACUCUGGCCAGACUACUGAUAAGAAGACCGUACAUCAUUUUUUAAGAAACUGAAAAGACUGCUGUUUUGGACUACAACUCAUAGACCCACUAUAAUGUUGGAGAAUUCUGAAAUUCAUUAUUCAGGUGUGGUUGGUGGGAAUAUGGAACAGGGCCUUCUCCACCAGUGCUUCCAGAAUCUGCUACUCCCUCCCACAGGACGCCAUAGUGGCCCCAUCUUUGCUGUCCUUCUGCAAG